GGUUCGAUCCCGUCUGGCUCCACCAGAUGGUUUGAUCACCGAGAUCUUGUACCGUCGUCCGCGAAACAUCACUUCGCAUCCUGCUA
rnacentral:tRNA from 1 species